rnacentral:rRNA from 1 species
AUACGGAGGGUGCAAGCGUUACUCGGAAUCACUGGGCGUAAAGCGCGCGCAGGCGGCUUGAUAAGUUGGAUGUGAAAGCCUACGGCUCAACCGUAUAACUGCAUCCAAAACUGUCAAGCUAGAGUCUGGGAGGGGAAGAUGGAAUUAGUUGUGUAGGGGUAAAAUCCGUAGAGAUAACUAGGAAUACCAAAAGCGAAGGCGAUCUUCUGGAACAGUACUGACGCUGAGGCGCGAGAGCGUGGGGAGCAAACAGGAUUAGAAACCCCGGUAGUCC